GUAAGUAUAAAUAGUUAACUUUGAAACUGCGAAUGGCUCAUUAUAUCAGUUAUAGUUUAUUUGAUGAAGAAUACUAAUUGGAUAACCGUAGUAAUUCUAGAGCUAAUACAUGUAUAAAGUCUUGUAGACUGCAUUUAUUAGAAUGAAAACCAUAGGUUUCGGCCUAUUCGUGAGUAAUAAUAACUAAUCAUAUCGUAUGCUUAUGUAACGAUGUGUCUUUCAAGUUUCUGCCCUAUCAGCUUUCGAUGGUAGUGUAUUGGACUACCAUGGCAGUAACGGGUAACGAAGA
rnacentral:rRNA from 1 species